GAUCCAGACUUGAUUCUGGCUCAGGAUGAACGCUAGCUACAGGCUUAACACAUGCAAGUCGAGGGGCAGCGGGAUUGAAGCUUGCUUCAAUUGCCGGCGACCGGCGCACGGGUGAGUAACGCGUAUCCAACCUUCCGUACACUCAGGGAUAGCCUUUCGAAAGAAAGAUUAAUACCUGAUGGUAUGAUGAGAUUGCAUGAUAGCAUCACUAAAGAUUUAUCGGUGUACGAUGGGGAUGCGUUCCAUUAGGUAGUAGGCGGGGUAACGGCCCACCUAGCCAACGAUGGAUAGGGGUUCUGAGAGGAAGGUCCCCCACAUUGGAACUGAGACACGGUCCAAACUCCUACGGGAGGCAGCAGUGAGGAAUAUUGGUCAAUGGACGAGAGUCUGAACCAGCCAAGUAGCGUGAAGGAUGAAGGUCCUACGGAUUGUAAACUUCUUUUAUAAGGGAAUAAACCCUCCCACGUGUGGGAGCUUGUAUGUACCUUAUGAAUAAGCAUCGGCUAACUCCGUGCCAGCAGCCGCGGUAAUACGGAGGAUGCGAGCGUUAUCCGGAUUUAUUGGGUUUAAAGGGAGCGCAGACGGGUCGUUAAGUCAGCUGUGAAAGUUUGGGGCUCAACCUUAAAAUUGCAGUUGAUACUGGCGUCCUUGAGUGCGGUUGAGGUGUGCGGAAUUCGUGGUGUAGCGGUGAAAUGCUUAGAUAUCACGAAGAACUCCGAUUGCGAAGGCAGCACACUAAUCCGUAACUGACGUUCAUGCUCGAAAGUGUGGGUAUCAAACAGGAUUAGAUACCCUGGUGGUCCACACGGUAAACGAUGGAUACUCGCUGUUGGCGA
rnacentral:rRNA from 1 species